rnacentral:rRNA from 1 species
AUUGAACGCUGGCGGCAUGCCUUACACAUGCAAGUCGAACGGCAGCACGGGAGCAAUCCUGGUGGCGAGUGGCGAACGGGUGAGUAAUAUAUCGGAACGUGCCCAGUCGUGGGGGAUAACGUAGCGAAAGCUACGCUAAUACCGCAUACGAUCUAUGGAUGAAAGCGGGGGAUCGCAAGACCUCGCGCGAUUGGAGCGGCCGAUAUCAGAUUAGGUAGUUGGUGAGGUAAAGGCUCACCAAGCCGACGAUCUGUAGCUGGUCUGAGAGGACGACCAGCCACACUGGGACUGAGACACGGCCCAGACUCCUACGGGAGGCAGCAGUGGGGGAAUUUUUGGACAAUGGGCGCAAGCCUGAUCCAGCAAUGCCGCGUGCAGGAUGAAGGCC